GAUCCACGCAACCUGCCCAACGCAGCUGUGCGCGCUCCUCUAUCCCGCCGGGCGCUGCUGCUGGGCCAGGCAGGGGCACGGCCGCACAGGUGAAGCUGGUGCGAGCUGCUGGCAUCACCUGUGCGCGAGCGGCUGCCGCAUGAAAUACUAUUGGAGAAGCUGUAAGAGAUGGAAGUUCCAAGAAGCAAGAUGAACCUAUCAUCCACAGUCCUUGUCUUGGAAAGUGACUCAGGGAAAAACAAAUGGCAUCACCAGGGUCGUAGCCUUACCAUUAACUUUGCCAUCUGGAUUUCUGGUGGACCCAGGGCUGAAGAGGCUUUCAGAUCACCUCAGACCUGACAAUGAGGUUUUUAACAAUUUACCUGAACAAAAGUUUAAGACUGUUACUCUUAGAAUGUCUGUUUUGGAGGAUAAAGUCUCAGCAUUAGAGGCUUGAUUUCGUAUUUACUGAAGUUACAAAAGAAAAUAAAGAAGUAAAGAACAGGAUGGACCUUUUGGAGUACAAGCAAUGCACAAGAAAUCUUAGUAGGGUUGGUGUUCCUGAGUUCUUUUGGCUUGAAAGAUCCCAUAACAUCCUUUUCCAAAAAAGGGGUACCGGCAGCACUGGGAUUGACUCCCCCUGAGACCUUUCUUCUAGAAUCAGUGAGUUUUUUGCUUCUCUUAUACCACUGACAGCUUGCUAUGAGGAUAAUUCUCAUUACACAGUCUGCGCUUAACACAAGAAGUAGGAUUUUGAAAGCCUCCAGGACCUUGGGUGAAGCAAGGUGUCAAGGAGAAAAAGCAAGGUUAUAUCCAUAGCAUGCCGCUAAUCUAGUAAAGAAAACAAAUGUCUUUGUGGCUGUGAAGAAAAUCUGCACAGCAUGGGACAGCACUUUGCCUUAUUGUCACUUGCAAAACUGAGGGGUCCCCAUGGUUGCAACAAAUGUUUAUUUGGACCUGAAGCUGAUAUUAAUCAUUUCAUAGAUCAGUGUAUGGCUGAAUUAACAGAGUAGGUGAAAGAGGCAGAUUCAGAUGCUGUCCAUUGAAGAUUUAGGGCCAUAUUCUACUCUGACUUACCCAAUGAAAUAGCAUUGACCAGUGGAGUUUCACAGCGCAUGAGUCAGAACAGAAUUUGUCCCUUUAAAAUAAUUACGUAUGUGUGCAACAACUACUGAAGUCAGUGGAAUGUAUAUGUGUAUCUGAGGGAUGAAUUUGCCCCUUAGACCUUUUGCUCUGAAAAAUAUCUGACUUGCUUUAAAAGCUUCCCCCUUCGGAUUGUUUGGAAGUUUCUAUAGUUGUUGAAGCAUGCAGCAUGAUUCACACACUCAUACUGCCCUAAUUUGCUUUCUAGAAUCUUUUAAUAUACAAAUAAUUAAUUGUGCGCGGUACACAUUCAGCACCUUUCAUGUAAGGUUUUCAAAAUCUUUGUGGGCCACAUGUUAUCUUCAUUUUACAGAUGGAGAAGCUGAGGCAGAGAGAAUUGUAAAAGGACAUUUUGACCCCACGGAAUUCAAUGGGAAUUUUGUCAUUGACUUCAGUGGAGCCAGGAUUUCACCCUUUUGUGCAUAAAUCAGAUUGUCAUGGUUUCCUCUGUCUAGUCAAAAGAACAAGGAGUACUUGUGGCACCUUGGAGACUAACAAAUUUAUUUGCCCAAAUAAAUUUGUUAGUCUCUAAAGUGCCACAAGUACUCCUCAUUCUUUUUGCUGAUACAGACUAACACGGCUACCACUCUGAAAUCUGUCUAGUCAGUUACUUAGGUAGUUUCCACUGUUUGGCUCUCUCUGGUCACUGCUUGAGAGAACCACAUGAACAUUUUUUUUUUUUUUUUUUUUGAAAAAACAGGAAAAUAUGAAGAAACCACAAAAUUGGAAGGGGGACUCCGGGGAAAGUGUAGAACCUGAAAAUAUUUUUAAUUCAUAUUUUUUUAGCUUAGUAAAUUUCAAGUGGAUGCUGUGUGUGUCUGUCUCUCAUCUCUUGUCCCCCCGACCCCCCCCCCCCCCAACACACACAGCUCUCGAACCAGUGGAAAAGAAGGGACUUCAUGUCUUAAAUUUUUAAAAGUUCAUGGCUGUCUGUGUGCAGAUUAGGUCUAUGCAAAAGUGCAUGGACACACUUUGGAAAAUCUGAGACCAGAUACCCAAAUUGUGUGUAUUAUAAUGUGUUUUAUUCCCCUGCAAGAAUGUAAGACUUAUUUUGUUGUUGAAAAAUUAUUAAUUUAAAAUGUUAAAAGGUCAAAGACUAGGCUACUGUGAUAGUGGAAUACAGGGAGCAUGUUGGAGAAUAGAGAGAAAUGUGGCUGAGAAGGUAGGAAGAGUCCAUAAAGUUCCUUAUAGAUCAGGAUAGAGAUGUGAUAUUUCAUGCUGAAAUGGACAGAGAGCCACUGAAGAUUUAUGUGAAGAGAGUGGUAUGUUCCAGUUAAUAUGAAUGGGUGAGCAGAUGAGUUGCAACAGUUACAUUAGUUAAGAUGCAGAAAAUUCUGAAUAGCCUGCUGCAUCCAUGUGAGGCCACAAAUGCAGUGGAAAAUCAUGUUUCUGCUGUGCAGGAGGGCUAAGCAGCAGAGAACCAAAACAGGUGGACUGUGCCCCGUUCUAUAUGUUCUAGAGCACAGAGGUUUUUGGUGGGUCCAUGCAUGGUACCAGAGAGUGGUAGAAUGUGGUCAAAUGGGGUUGUUGCCAGUGGAAUUGUGCACAGUCUAGAUGUACUGGGCCAACCUGCCAUAUGAAGAAACAGUGAACUGUGCUUGCUGUGUCCCUCUCCCCCUGCAAUAGUGACUGUGGCUUGGUCAUGUCAUUUACUGCAUAUUUGAGAUAGGUAUUUCAAUCUCUGAGUCCCAGGACAUUUCUGCCAUGUUCAUAAGGUCACAUCCAGUUUACCUGGGCUACACAAUCUUUUCCAGUAUUUUGCUCAAUGAAAGUAAAUGAAGGUCUACUCUAAGCCCUGGUCUACACUAGGAGUUUAGGUCGAAUUUAGCAGCGUUAAAUCGAUGUAAACCUGCACCGGUCCACAUGAUGAAGCCCUUUUUUUUUUUA